ACCUACGGGAGGCAGCAGUGGGGAAUAUUGCACAAUGGGGGAAACCCUGAUGCAGCGACGCCGCGUGAGUGAAGAAGUAAUUCGUUACGUAAAGCUCUAUCAGCAGGGAAGAAAAUGACGGUACCUGAGUAAGAAGCCCCGGCUAACUACGUGCCAGCAGCCGCGGUAAUACGUAGGGGGCAAGCGUUAUCCGGAUUUACUGGGUGUAAAGGGUGCGUAGGUGGCAGGGCAAGUCAGAUGUGAAAGCCCGGGGCCCAACCCCGGUACUGCAUUUGAAACUGUCCGGCUGGAGUGCAGGAGGGGUA
rnacentral:rRNA from 1 species